AUGUCAUAUGUCGACUUUGAGGUAUAUGUGCCUGCAUUAUUCCAUCUCCAAAGGGGGGUAUCAUUGUGCACCGGAUCCAGCACCAAAUUGAUCAUUAUGUCCCAGAGGUUGAUGAUAUGCAACAGCCCAUCUGAACACAACUCUCCCGAGAUGUCAUUCGCCCAACGAUGGAGAUGCAUCGCCUCACUUACGGUCCGUUUGUUCACCACUUGCGUGCGGACCUUCACCACUUGUCUCAAUAUUUUCUCUCAUACUCUUUUCCAUGGUCUAUAUCUAUGCUACAGUAUCCGCAAAAAAAAAGAACUACACUAUAGCACCAUACCAAGUUUUAACACAAAUACAGCUUAUGAGAAUUUUGGAAAAUAUAUAUAUUAUAUAGAUUGA
rnacentral:rRNA from 1 species